CAAAUACUCCCUCCGUUCCGAAUUAUUCGUCGCAGAAAUGGAUGUAUCUAGAUGUAUUUUAGUUCUAGAUACAUCCAUUUCUGCAACGUGUAAUUUGGAACGGAGGGAGUAGUAC
rfam:Triticum aestivum genome assembly, contig: Triticum_aestivum_CS42_TGACv1_scaffold_471056_6AL